CACUUCAAAGUAGUCCAAAACAAAGCAGGAGAUUUUUCCCACAUGUGAUUUUAUUUCACUCUGUCUUGAGUUCUCAAGUUUUUCAAGACAAAAUCUUCCGAGUCAGUCAUGGCUCUUCUCUUUAUCCUCACUCCGCUUCUCUAGUUCUUUAUCAGGUCCAGUUUGACUCUAUCUCUAAAACCAUUUCUGAAUGUGUCAAUUUCUUUCAUUCUAACUGGCUCUACUACAAGUCCAAGUCACCAUCCUCUCUUGACUGGGCUACUGCAGUGGACUCUGGCCUGGUCUCUAAGCUUUCUUUCUUGAGGGAUCUGGUCAUACCACUCCCUAUGCAAAACCCUGUUGUAGAGCAAAGUCCAGGCUUGUUGCUUUAUCCUAAAAAGCCCCAUGGCAACUACAGUUCCCACUUUUGGAUUUUGUCAUUGGGGAAGUUGUCAUGGAUAUGUGAAAAUUAACAUGCAGAAAAAACUUUUAUUUGGCUGACUGCCAAACCACUUUGAAAAAAAGAAGAUGACGAAAAUUGGUGUAAAAUUGCACUUGAAGGGCAAGAUCAUCUUUUCUGAAAACCAAAGGUUAGAAUAUAAAAAGCCUCAUGAAUUGCCAAAACCUUUAUAGUAACUACUGAGGAGUAGUCAGCUUCUGAAAUAUGAACCACAUGCCUAUAAAUCUGAUAGAAAACAGUGGUAGAGAAACUAAAAAUGCAACAUCUCAACUAAAUACAACCAAAGGCCAAAAUGUUGGGAAAAAAUCAUUACCAGAU
rnacentral:lncRNA from 10 species